CAGUCGCCGCGGGAAUACGAAGGGUGCAAGCGUUAAUCGGAAUUACUGGGCGUAAAGCGCGCGUAGGCGGUUUGUUAAGUCUGCUGUGAAAUCCCCGGGCUCAACCUGGGAAUGGCAGUGGGUACUGGCAAGCUAGAGUGUGUCAGAGGAUGGUGGAAUUCCCGGUGUAGCGGUGAAAUGCGUAGAGAUCGGGAGGAACAUCAGUGGCGAAGGCGGCCAUCUGGACUGAUACUGACACUGAGGUGCGAAAGCGUGGGGAGCAAACAGGAUUAGAUACCCGAGUAGUCCCUGUCUCUUAUAC
rnacentral:rRNA from 1 species